UCCGUUGUGGUCUAGUGGCUAGGAUUUGCCGCUCUCAUUGAGAGUCCAACUCGCUCUUGAAGCGCCGGCAAGGCCCGGGUUCAAUUCCCGGCGACGGAA